rnacentral:lncRNA from 1 species
AUGCUUUGGAAUCCUUCCCUGAGGCAUGGAUGCAAAAUAGCAGUACAUCUCUCGAAAGUCUGAACAUUCAUAACUGUGAUUCUUUGAGAUAUAUUGCCAGAAUCCAGCUACCUCCGAGCUUGAAGCGGCUGAUUAUCUUUAGAUGUGAUAAUUUAAGGACUUUGACAGGGGAACAGGACAUCCGCGGUAGCAGCAGUGGGUGCACCUGCCUCACAUCCUUUUCUUCAGAAAGCGAGUUACCUGCCACGCUGGAGCACCUUGAGGUCAAUUCUUGCUCGAAUCUUGCUUUCUUGUCACGGAAUGGAAAUCUACCUGAGGCUCUUAAGUACCUCAAGAUCAGAGACUGUUCAAAGCUGGAGUCGUUAGCAGAAAGGUUGGACAACACAUCCCUUGAAGAAAUCACUAUUUCAUGGCUUGAAAAUCUUAAAUCAUUACCCGUCGGUUUGCAUAAUCUCCACCAUCUUGAAAAGAUUAGGGUAGAUGGAUGGCCAAAUCUUGAGUCAUUUCCCGAAGAAGGAUUGCCUUCUACGAAAC